rnacentral:sRNA from 1 species
UUAAUUUGUUUUAUAUUGUCUUCCAUGUAGCAAAAUGACAAUGUCAGAUUGAACUACACAGUGUCGAUGCAAGAACUCUCUAAUGGUGCAUGAUUUAAUGAGGAAAACAAUCAGACAGUAGAACCUGUACGACAACCAGACUCUCGUACACUACCGCUUCUGGCCCUAGGACCAAAAAAUAUGCAAGAUUCUAGUUCAUGUGUUACUUUUACUUGUCCUCAAUAUCUACUUGAGCUUUCGUUCUAAACUACACUAUGUUUGAUUGUUUUCUAAAAACUAUAGUUUUCUUAAGUUUUCUAAAAAGACCAUUGAAAAAUAAUUUCACAUUAGUCCAUAGAAAAAUGCGUCCAUGGAAUAUUAAACUGCUGACCUUAUACACACUUAAGAGAUUCUCUACCGUUAAGCUACGAUAAUAAUUUAAUAAUAUUCGUAACAAAGUAUAUUUAUAUACUAACAAAUAUCACUAUUUA